UACGUAGGGUGCAAGCGUUGUCCGGAAUUAUUGGGCGUAAAGAGCGUGUAGGCGGCCCGAUUAGUCCGCUGUGAAAGUCCAGGGCUCAACCCUGGAAUGCCGGUGGAUACUGUCGGGCUAGAGUCCGGAAGGGGCGAGUGGAAUUCCUGGUGUAGCGGUGAAAUGCGCAGAUAUCAGGAGGAACACCGAUGGCGAAGGCAGCUUACUGGGCCGAUACUGACGCUGAGGAGCGAAAGCGUGGGGAGCGAACAGG
rnacentral:rRNA from 1 species